rnacentral:rRNA from 1 species
AACGAACGCUGGCGGCAUGCCUAACACAUGCAAGUCGAACGAAGCCUUCGGGCUUAGUGGCGCACGGGUGCGUAACACGUGGGAAUCUGCCCUUUGGUUCGGAAUAACAGUUAGAAAUGACUGCUAAUACCGGAUAAUGACGUAAGUCCAAAGAUUUAUCGCCGAAGGAUGGGCCCGCGUAGGAUUAGGUAGUUGGUGGGGUAAUGGCCCACCAAGCCGACGAUCCUUAGCUGGUCUGAGAGGAUGAUCAGCCACACUGGGACUGAGACACGGCCCAGACUCCUACGGGAGGCAGCAGUGGGGAAUAUUGGACAAUGGGCGAAAGCCUGAUCCAGCAAUGCCGCGUGAGUGAUGAAGGCCUUAGGGUUGUAAAGCUCUUUUACCAGGGAUGAUAAUGACAGUACCUGGAGAAUAAGCUCCGGCUAACUCCGUG